AUGGACGCGAGCCGCCGGUUCUAUUUCGGGAAAAUACAAAUUUGGAAUGGAUGGUACUCCCGAGUCGUAAGCGAACUCCGCCGGUUGACUCCAUUUUUAGAGCUGGUCUGCGCGUGCGCAGCGAGCGCGCUGCCAGUACUCAGCGAGCUGCCAUCACGCCGCGUCGCUCGCCACCCCCACGUUGUCGCCUACUGUCGCGUUGUGCUCCCAACACCAUCACCCAAGAGAUGGCGUCACGGACUGAACCACUGCUGCAUAUUAUUCAUAUGUAACUGGUAGUUGCUAAUUGCAACUGCACGCGCCUGCAGUACACUCAAGAAUGAAGACACAAAGCCUUGCGCGAGUUCCGUGCUUCCUUACUUCCCAUAGUGCUUAUUAUCGUAUGGAAUGUAAAGAAGUAUGGAGCUGCGCGGGCGUGCCCUCGGGUCCGGAAAUCGCAUCAUCCUGGUUCACAUGUGUGACAGAAGCUUUGUCUUGUUAUUUGUGAUCACAGUUCUAGUGUUACAUUUUAAUUUAAUUGUGUGAUGUAGCUGUUAGUAAUUCACUAGCAGCUUGUAUAAUUGACAUGGAUUUUUUACACUCUACAAUGUGAAAAGCAAUAUUUCUCAUUUGUCUCUAAAACAUUAUUCCUAGGAUGAGCUGUGAGGCGAGGGGGCAGCGGCGGGACUAGGGCAAUGACAGCGCGCACGCAUUACGAUCAGGAUCACUCACACAUAAGUGUAGAGGCGCGGCCGACCAACUCGACACACCAAGUGACCAACACGACUUAUCGUCCCUUCAACAACACAACUUUGCUCACUACCAUAGAUUCAAUAAUAAUUACCCACAAAUCAAGAUUCUACCCGAUCCGCGCCCUUUAAUAGCGAACGCCUUUUACUAUCGCACAAAAGACUCGUCUAUGAGAAAGGGAUCUUGACCUACCAGUUUGUUCGGUACGUUCGACUCUCAAAAACAAUUUAUUCAUGCAUCCAUGCAACGACUACAACCAACAAAAGAAUUUAAAACUAGACAGGGGGAUAAUGAAUACUAGACAAAGGGCAUUUUAAUAGAGUUACUUGCGUGCAAUUCGGUAUAGUGAUUUUGUUGAAGUAGAAUGCAUGUAUGAACGGGCCACUGAGAAUAUAAUAGAAAUCGUGUUGUAUGAAUGAUAACAUGUGCGUCACAGCUUUGGUGUAAUCCAUUUUUUAUACGAGUUACAGUAUCUUCAUAGAGAAAAGAUACGAGGAGAUGGAAUCGGUAGAUGUGUUGUUAUUCGCGGAUGACGUGCGAAAAUAACCACCAGACGAAUCGUUGGCAGCGCUCCAGAGGCCACAGAAAGUCUUCGAUGCCGUGCCUCACUCUACAUAUAUUUCCAUACAUUAUGCGUAGAUACAAUUAAAGUUAAAAGUAAAAAUUUGUUAAUCAAUGCUGCAGCAUAAAAACUUUAUACUACAGCAUAAAAUACGAGUAUAGGUACUUUAUAGGUAAUUUAUUGAAUGGAAGAAAAAUAUAGUUAUUGUCAACCAAAUAGAAUUCUGGAAAACAAAACUUCAAGAUUUACAUAAAUAGUAGGCGUCUACUAUGUACCUAUUCUUGUUUCUUUGUUAAGUAUCGUCUUUUUAUUUCCUAGAUUGAUUUAAACAUAGUUUUCUCCUUUUUCAGACAUGCUAUUAUGGGGAGUCGCGCAACAUUCAGAUACAACAGAUUUCAAAUGUCUAUUUAUUUUUCUAUUUAUCAAAUUUCUUUGUCUAUUUAUGGCAGAAUUCAGAUAUGAUUUGUUAUGAAACGUUUGCUCAAAUUACUGAAAAGAGAAUGAAUUUUUCAACCUGAGAAUUAUCGCAAAUCCAUUUAAUCAUUAAAUCAAUACUUUAACGUAGAAAUAAGAACCAUCAUCCAAAAGCUACUUAAUAUUUUUAGCUACGGACGCUAGAUGGCGACUCUUACACACUGAUACGACACUUAUGCGGACAAACAGCACAUGUAAAAUGAUUAAUAAAAAAACUCAAGGCUACAUUA